CUAAAUAUCACAUAUUAAUUGCUAAGGUGAGAACGCCAGUUGGAUUUUGGACAUCACGUCGCCCAGGCGUGUAGUAUUAAAUCGGAUUCCUUAUUUUGAAAUUGAGGUAGCAGAUAUUUGAAGCUCGAAGAAAUUUCUACAAAUAACCCACUUCGCUUUGGGAACCAAUGCAGUGACAAAUUUACCAGCCUCUGAAUAAAUUGCCUGAACGUAUAAACUCUAAAUAAGUAACACAAACUCGGAUUCUCACAACAGUUUGAAACUAUCUGCACAUCUUCCAGCAAACUUUGUUAUUUUAUAAAAAUGUCAUCUGCACCAUAUAACGGAGAAUUAAGACAAAGGGUGGAGCGUUGUUUGGGUAUAGACAAAUGGCAUUUCGAUGUCUGUCUACUGGACAUAUUAGCAGCAGCGCACCUCGAAUAUCAAAUCACUCCAUAUGAAGAGGAUAACGAUAUACAUAAACGAGAGGCAGAAGAAAUGCUAUAUGAAGACGAAGAAGACGAAAUAAUGUUGAGAAUUUACGGACCAAAACUGUCGCGGAACAAAGAAAGCUUUUCGGAUUGUUCUGUAUAUAUACAGCGUAUAAAUGAGUUGUUACUGUCUUUCCCUUAGACACGGAUACAAUUUAUUUGUGUAAAAUAUAAAUAACAUUUCGUUUUUCAAAGCCUCGGAGAAAAACAAUGAAAAUGUAAGAGUAUGUA